GACAAGGCAUUGACCAAUCAUUUUAUUGUCCCACCAUAGGCCACACCCACUUUACGCCUGCAAACUAGUACAUUUGCGUUUCUGCGCAGAGCAGACUUCGGCGUCGUGAAGGAAUGGAUGGAUUAUUUUGUUCGGGGCAUUUGACUGAAGAUUGUUUUGUAAACGAGGUACAGUGUAAUGGAGAGUUCACACAAAGAAACAUUCGUUGAAAGAUGAAGCAGCCAACCGUAUUGAAUCUGACAGCAGCUGCAGCAAACCGGACCUGAGCAGUGCUGAGAUUCUCCAGGAUCAGGAGUCUGCUUGGAAGACAAACUGCAAUAUCCUGCACUUGCAGAAAAGCGCAGCACUAUAUUUCCAUUAUGUGACAUGUCACAUGAAGCACAUGUCAACAGCAUCGGGAAGCUGAAAACAUAAUAAAGAAAAGAAAGGUUCCGUGAAAAAAAGAGCUUUUUAAAAGAGUGUCCAGCACGGUUUCCUUGAGGAUAUUUCUCUCGUCUUCUCCACUAAUCAACUUUUCGCUUCACAAGGCAUGAUGGACUGGAGUGAUUACCUGUGGAUUAUUGUGAUGUUUUUAUCAGCUGUUUGGACUCUCAUUCUGACGGCACCCAUUCACUGCAGAGCAUCCAUUGUAAACAGUUGCUUUCCCAUGAGCACCCUCGUGUUCCUGUUGUUGGCCAGGUUUGUGCACACUGGGAAACAUCCCGCUCCCUAUUGUCCUGGAGGCCAAAGGUCAGGGAGUUUUUCUAAAGCGUUCAAUGAGUGAGAUUCUGCUCUUUCAAGAGGACGGCAGGGUGGGGUUCUGGAGGAGCACAAAAAGAGGGGCACCUCUGACACAAUAGCACAACUCACCAAUUCACCAUCAACUUCCUGACUGGCCACGGUCAGUCCUGCGUUUGUAUUGAGCGCUUUCCCUCUCCUUGCGUGCCGGUUGGAUGUCUUUAUUAUAACACACAGAGCACAGGGAUGAACAUCAGCUUUCCCACUGAGGAACAUGGAGAGUAGUUUGACCUGUACAGAAUGAAUGAGAGUGUCGAAGUUCAACAAAUAAACAUCUCCGACGCUCAGAGGACAGCAAAACAUUCGUUUCUACACAAUUCUUCAGCAUUCUGAGUCUGACUGAUUUUCAAAUUGUUUGUCUUAAACAUAUCAAAAAAACGUUAUGGGGUUUCAAAACGUAAUGUGACAUUUUGUUAUGAAACGGCAUCAUUUUCAUACAUGACUUCUGUAGAGGACAGCAGGACAUACAGCAUAUUAAAUCAGGCUUUUAGGGGAGACACAAGAAGUCAAUAAGGAAAGAAAUUAUAGAUCAAUAUUCCUAUGAAAUAUGAUAUAUUUUUAUGAAAAUGUUUCCAAUUUAUUACUCCCACUAUUUUGCCUAUACAUGUCUUUUCAAGUCUAUUUUUUUAUUUUAUUUAGUCCCUGUGUCCUCUAAAAUAUCUUUUUUCAAAAACAAAAAUUCUCCAUUUGUUUCUUAUGCUCCAACCAAUGCAGUGACAUUCACAAAUUCACAAAACUUUUAUGUUUAUGGUUCUCAGGAGGAUAUUGUGAAGGUGAAACACAAACUGACUAACAAAGUGAUUUUAGUGAAAUAUACUAUUAACAGAAAUUAUUAUUUUAUCAAAAAAGGCGGGACUUGGUUCAGUCUGCUGGUUGUUGAUUGGAUGGAGGCAGAUCUGAACGCGAGCUUGCAGUCAAUUAUAAGAAAAUGUAAGCCUGGGUUAUUAUAGUUAAUAAAAAAACAAAAACUGAAAUCAAAAUCAUUAAAAAAAAAAAGGUUUACACUACUUUUCUAAAAUAAAUGGUAACUUUAACAUUAAAACAUUGUUUUAUUUCUGCUAUUUGCAAGGCAACAUUUCUCAUUUUCUAUUAAAAACCACACAACAAAAUUACUAAAACCUUUUAAGAAAACAGAAAAUAAAAAAAUGUUAGCAAAGAGAAGUCUGUCGUUUCAAUGAUGAUCAAGUGACUGUUUGGUUAUAAAUUACAUGGGAAAAAAAGAAAAAGAAACAUAUGCUAGGAUGAAUUGUUCACAAUAAUAUGAUGCAUUUAGGGAAAGAAAAAAAAAAGAUUGAAUUUCCAUUCCAACUUGCCAGAAAUGCUCAAAUUGGUCAAAUAUUCAAAACACUGUUAUAUAAGUAUACUCAUAGUAGUGUUGUUAUUUCAGAAGACCAGGUUUUCACAAGGAUGAAUGUCAAAAUAUUAUCUAAAAAUGUUUGAAUAUUUGAUUUCAUUUUGCAUUCUCGUGUUGAGCAAAAUGUCAAUUUUGUCAAUUAAAGUAGAUGUGAUUUUCUUUUCAAUACAUUUUCAACAAGUAACUUUUAGAAGUAACUACACAAUGUAAUCCUACCAUUUACUAAGACAUCACAACUAACAAAACAAUAAAGAAAAGAACAAACAAACAGAUUCUUUGUCUUCAACUAAAUGUUGAACGACUCCAUGUGUAGGCAAGCCCUGGCAAUGUGCUUUCUCUGUUGGCCUUUCCAAGCGUCUUCCAUCAUAGUCGUGAACAGACCAGAUCAUCAUUUAUUAUCCCUGCCAUGAAUGUUGUCAAUGUUGAAAUAUACCGCUGGAGUGUGUUCAUCAAUCUGUCUUAAGCUUAUGCACACACACUCCAGUUCAAAUGUUAUGAAACAGGACUGUAUGACAAAUUGCUCUUUGUGAGCAUUGCACAUUGUAAGUAAGUAAAUAAAUAUUUGAAUUAUUAAACAGAAUGACUCGCACACAUGUAAAGUGGCACUGAUUGACAGGCAAAUAAUUCCCCAGCGGGAUUGUAAACGGGAAGCUGCUGGGACCUUUUGCUCUAGUUCUGACACUAGUCAAAGCCAUUGAGUGUGUGUGUGUGUGUGGGCCUCUCUCCUACUGUAGAGCAUUAGUAGAUGCCUGUGGAGUUUCACAGAGCUGCACAAUGCAGUGCCACAUUUACUAGAGAGAGAGAGAGAGAGGUAGAGAGAGACAGCAGCACUUGACGUGUGUCUGACCCUCAGCACUGGGAACAUUUUAAGAGCUCAGACAGGAACAUGUUUAUUCCCCGUUUUUGUUAGUCUCUACCUGUUUUCAUGCAUUUUGUCACUCAGAGCUUGAUAUUUCAUAGCUCAGGAGAUAUUUAGGCCAAAGUGUUCAUUUGAACUC